UCUCAUGGAUGAGCAAUGAAAGUGGUUUCUUGAGAAGGAAUCUACGCCUGGUGAAGAUGCUAUGAGGA
rnacentral:pre_miRNA from 1 species